AUUCCACAAUGGACGAAAGUCUGAUGGAGCGACACAGCGUGCAGUAUGAAGGCCCUAUGGGUUGUAAACUGCUGUGGUUAGGGAAGAAAAAGUAGCAUAGGAAAUGAUGCUACCUUGACGGUACCUGAUUAGAAAGCAACGGCUAACUAUGUGCCAGCAGCCGCGGUAAUACAUAGGUUGCAAGCGUUAUCCGAAAUUAUUGGGCGUAAAGCGUCUGUAGGUUGUUUGUUAAGUCUGGCGUUAAAUUUUGGGGCUCAACCCCAAAACGCGUUGGAUACUGGCAGACUAGAGUUAUGUAGAGGUUAGCGGAAUUCCUUGUGAAGCGGUGAAAUGCGUAGAUAUAAGGAAGAACAUCAAUAUGGCGAAGGCAGCUAACUGGGCAUAUACUGACACUGAGAGACGAAAGCGUGGGGAGCAAACAGGAUUAGAUACCCUGGUAGUCCACGCCCUAAACGAUGAUCAUUAGUUGAUGGGGAACUCAUCGACGCAGCUAACGCAUUAAAUGAUCCGCCUGAGUAGUACGUUCGCAAGAAUAAAACUUAAAGGAAUUGACGGGGAUCCGCACAAGCGGUGGAGCAUGUGGUUUAAUUUGAAGAUACGCGUAGAACCUUACCCACUCUUGACAUCUUCUGCAAAGCUAUGGAGACAUAGUGGAGGUUAACAGAAUGACAGAUGGUGCAUGGUUGUCGUCAGCUCGUGUCGUGAGAUGUUCGGUUAAGUCCUGCAACGAGCGCAACCCUUAUCCUUAGUUACUACCAUUUAGUUGAGCACUCUAAGGAGACUGCCCGAGUAAUCGGGAGGAAGGUGGGGACGACGUCAAAUCAUCAUGCCUCUUACGAGUGGGGCUACACACGUGCUACAAUGGACGGUACAAAGAGAAGCGAAGUGGUGACAUGGAGCAAACCUCAAAAAACCGUUCUCAGUUCGGAUUGAAGUCUGCAACUCGACUCUG
rnacentral:rRNA from 2 species